rnacentral:SRP_RNA from 1 species
GCUGGGUGCGGUGGCUCACGCCUGUAAUCCCAGCACUUUGGGAGGCUGAGGCAGGCGGAUCACCUGAGGCCAGGAGUUUGAGACCAGCCUGGCCAACAUGGUGAGACCCUGUCUCUA